GACGGAGGGUGCAAGUGUUAUCCGGAAUCACUGGGCGUAAAGCGUCUGUAGGUGGUUUAAAAAGUCCACUGUUAAAAAUUGAAGCUUAACUUCAAAGAUGCCGUGGAAACUUUUAAACUUGAGGAUGAUAGGGGUAGAGGGAAUUUCCAGUGGAGCGGUGAAAUGCGUAGAUAUUGGAAAGACCACCAAUGGCGAAGGCACUCUACUGGGCCAUUACUGACACUGAGAGACGAAAGCUAGGGGAGCGAAUGGG
rnacentral:rRNA from 1 species